AAAGAAGACUCGGUGCCUGCCAAGGACAUGCUUGGCGAGGGAAAGUCUGUAAAGGCAAGUUGAGAGGGUGGAGGGGCUUCACCAAAUAGGAACAGGACGGGCUGUAAUGUAUCAACUUCCUCCUCCACCCUGAACCGCCUCGCUUGGAAUUCCUUAUCUAAUCAACUGGAGACUUGGAUCUUAACGGCCAAACUAUAAAACUGGGGUGUUCUAUACACAUGCUCUGUGUGCAUGUACACCUGCAUGCCAGGAGAGGGCAUUACAUCCCUUUAUAGACAGUCAUGAGGCACCAUGUGGUUGCUGGGAAUUGAACUUGGGACCUCUGGAAGAACAGCCAGUGCUCUUAACCGCUGAGCCAUCUCACCUGCCCCCAUUGUAACUAUUUAGUACAUUUUUACCUGCAUAUUGAAAAUGUUUAGGGGCCUUUUACACAUAGAGUCCAUGAGGCAUCCCCAUUCACCCACCAGACUCAGCGGAAUGUGCCGUGAGUGCUGAGACUGAGUUCCUAUGGUAGUUACCAGGGUGACAAUCAGAAGCAAAACAAACAUUCCUGCCGGGAGUAGGAAUGUAGCUAGCUAUGCAAACAGAAAGUACAGCCCAUGGAAGAUGGUUCUGAAGGCAGCCGCCCAAAGGAGAUGAGACCACAAGAGCUGGUAAGACUUUCAACCAGAACCCAGCCUCGAUCCCUCCAUGGAAGAUGAGCUAGGUCACCACUGACCUGGCAUGAAUAGGAGCCAGUCAGCAAGAGGGGCACCUGGAAGAGUGCUGGAGAAGGAAAAUGGUUACGUCUAAAGCUCUUUCCCAUCACGUUUGGCACCCUGAAUGAUCUGCUGAAACAGAAAUCCAUUUCUUUUUUAUUAUUGGAGAAUUCAUUUGUAAUCAUCAGUUUGGUUUAAAGAACACAGCAUGGAAGACAGAAUUUACAUCGACAUCACAAGGCUGCUGACUUGAGGAUGCUUGGAAUGAAGAACAGCUGAAGUGUUCCGUAUAACAGACUCACGGGAAGAUCUGCCCUAGACACUUCCUGCUGUGUACCCUGACCCACCCUACUCCCAAGAAAGACAAGCCGCCACAAAGUACCAGGUUAGAGUAUAAUCACCGAGUUCCCUCUGUGCAACCACCCAACUUCUAGGAAAGAGAGAGCAAGGAGAGAGAGACUGGACUUUUGAUCGAAGACUCAAUGGAAUGGGGGCAGUGUGUGGGUCCACAUGAUUUCUCAAGUCUUCCUUCUGCACAGUCGUUAGACUAACGCCCAGUUUAUAAACAUGCACAGUGCUGCCCCUUUUAAAUUGAGGAGAGAAAAGAAAGAAAGACAGAAAAACCACACAAAUACUGCAAAGUAGAAAAAUACAAAGAAAAAAAAAGCUACUUUCGGUUUUGGCAACAUUAAAAAGGAUGAGACAUAGAGCAGAGGUGGCCCUGGCCCGGUCAUCAGGAAAGCUCAGCAAGUCAGCAGACCUGCCAAACAUCAAAGCUCCCUGAGGAAAAGCUCAGCUUUCAGGUCUGGGAGAGUUCUUACUGGAAUGUGACCUAUCACUGCCUGACAGAUCUGACAUGGAAUGUCUCCAAAUGGCAGUGUCUCCCUCUCUGCCCUCCCUGGCUGGGAGUGCGCCCAGGAGGAGCAGCCACCUUCCGUGGAGGUGGGCGAGCCUCGGGCAGCCAUCUUCGCCAGCUGCUGCUCCAACUUGGAAAUGCACUCGUCUUGACUGCAGCCAGCUUGCCGUCCAGAAUGUUCUUCUUGACCACCUUGAAAUCCCCGUUCUUGCCUGGAAUGUACCCGUGCUUCAACGAUAUGAGGAUGGGGUCUGUCUGCAUUCUUCCCCCUCAAACCACUCCUCGGCCUCAAGGGCAACUUCCGGCCCCGCUGUGUCAGGGUACAGGUCGUCUUGGAAGAGGUCAGACUUCCUGGGGACCGUCAUGAUAAUGGGCUCGUACUAUCUCUCAUGAAGCUUGAAGAAUCUGGCAAUCUCACACUUGUUGACGUCAAGGCCCCGCUUGGGCAUGUAGCCCAUCCCUCACUGAGGCUCCUUGCCGCUGAAUGUGUGGAGGUAGUGGACAUAUGGGAAUUCAUCCGCGGACACUGCUGUCACCCUUCCCACAUAAGUAGAUGAUGCUGGUGUCUGGGUCGUAGAAGGAGAGCAGCACUCCAUUGCUAGUGUCCAUUUCAUGGAGAGCAUUGGUUUCUGCAUGUUUUUUUGGGUUCCAGAGCGUCAACUGCCGCUCGCUCAUGCGGCUAAAGCCAGUAGUGAAUACGUUGCCGUCCGCCAGGAAGAUGGCACGCAUAGGCCUGGCUCCUUCGUGUGCUUUCUCCUUCUCCACCGCCAUCUCCUGUUUCCUGGGGUCAAUGACUCUCAUUUUCUUGUCUUUGGAUGCUGUGCAGAUGAGACUACCGUUACAGCUCCAGCUCUCGUUGUAAAUCAUGUCUGAAUGCAUAUCAUCCAAGUUGAUGAGGGCUUCCCCUGUCCCCACGUUCCAGAUGAUAAUGACAUUAUCACAGCCUGCACUGAGAAGCACAAUGUGGGCCGUCGGGUGCCAGGCCACGAUGCCAACUCUUUUUGAGUGGCCUUCUAGAAUCACCACAGGCUCAGUCAGGGAAAGGGUCAGUCCAUUUUCUGGGAUCUGCCAAACCAUAACAAUGCAGGCCUCUGAGCCGCUGGCGAUAACCUGAUCGUUAUGUGGACACCAGUCUAUGUCCAGCACUGGUCCUGUGUGGCCACACACUGUAGGGUAGGAUUUGUCAAUUUGUCCCGUCUUGUGCAGAGGGAGCAUCAGGAAGGCCCCUCCCCUACUUGCUUCUAUGAUGAUGGCCACGAAUCUGGGGUUGAUGGCGCAAAAGGAACUGUCCCAGGUGACUCGGGAGACGCGGAUGUCAUCAUAGCACUGAUCAUUCUUCACCGCCUGUCCAAAGACAUGCCGGAACUUGCUCUGCCGCACCACUCGCCGCAUCGUGUCAGAGCCCGGGUGCCUGAGGCGCCACCGAAGUCCCUGCUGCAAAGCCCCGAGAAGCCUCCAUCCAUCCGCUGCCGCCUCCCGCCUGGCACUGAGUGCCGCGCGGGGGAGGGGCGCGGCAACCGCUGCCCAGUCCUUCGCGCAAGCGUGCAGGCCCUGCCCCCCUCAAAUCUUUGAAUUGGGUCAACAGACACUAACAUUAUCCAAAUGUAAUGGUUCUGAAAUAAAACACUGUAAGAUCAA
rnacentral:lncRNA from 1 species